rnacentral:rRNA from 1 species
GAGUUUGAUCGUGGCUCAGGACGAACGCUGGCGGCGUGCUUAACACAUGCAAGUCGAACGGAGUGCCUAUGACAGAGACUUCGGUCAAUUGAUUAGGUUACUUAGUGGCGGACUGGUGAGUAACGCGUGAGGAACCUGCCUUUCAGAGGGGGACAACAGUUGGAAACGACUGCUAAUACCGCAUGAUGCAUGACUGGGGCAUCCCGGACAUGCCAAAGAUUUAUCGCUGAAAGAUGGCCUCGCGUCUGAUUAGAUAGUUGGUGGGGUAACGGCCUACCAAGUCGACGAUCAGUAGCCGGACUGAGAGGUUGACCGGCCACAUUGGGACUGAGAUACGGCCCAGACUCCUACGGGAGGCAGCAGUGGGGAAUAUUGGGCAAUGGACGCAAGUCUGA